rnacentral:misc_RNA from 1 species
UGUAUCUGGUUUUGUUGUUGAAGGACGAAAAUCGGAUUCGUUGACAAGUUAAGGGACCUUAGAUAAACUUAUUCCAUAUAAAAAAAGGGCAAACUAAAGCCCAAAUUGAAUUGAAAUCUGGCCUUUGAAGAUUCCAUAAUGUACCAGGAAAAAGUACACCGAAGGUCCCUCAACUUAUCAUCGGGAUAAAAAAACAUCCUCGAACCACAAAACCAGAUAUACGGGAUCUC